rnacentral:rRNA from 1 species
AGAGUUUGAUUCUGGCUCAGGAUGAACGCUGGCGGCGUGCCUAACACAUGCAAGUCGAACGGAGUUAUGCAGAGGAAGUUUUCGGAUGGAAUCGGCGUAACUUAGUGGCGGACGGGUGAGUAACGCGUGGGAAACCUGCCCUGUACCGGGGGAUAACACUUAGAAAUAGGUGCUAAUACCGCAUAAGCGCACAGCUUCACAUGAGGCAGUGUGAAAAACUCCGGUGGUACAGGAUGGUCCCGCGUCUGAUUAGCCAGUUGGCAGGGUAACGGCCUACCAAAGCGACGAUCAGUAGCCGGCCUGAGAGGGUGAACGGCCACAUUGGGACUGAGACACGGCCCAA